UACGGAGGGUGCAAGCGUUGUUCGGAAUCAUUGGGCGUAAAGCGCGUGUAGGCGGCCCACGGAGUCGGAUGUGAAAUCCCUUAGCUCAACUAAGGAAAGUCAUUCGAUACUGGUGGGCUUGAGUACGGGAGAGGAGAGUGGAAUUCCCAGUGUAGAGGUGAAAUUCGUAGAUAUUGGGAGGAACACCGGUGGCGAAGGCGGCUCUCUGGACCGAUACUGACGCUGAGAGGCGAAAGCGUGGGGAUCAAACAGG
rnacentral:rRNA from 1 species